rnacentral:rRNA from 1 species
AGCAGUCGCCGCGGGAAUACAGAGGGUGCAAGCGUUAAUCGGAAUUACUGGGCGUAAAGCGCGCGUAGGUGGUUCGCCAAGUUGGAUGUGAAAUCCCCGGGCUCAACCUGGGAACUGCAUCCAAAACUGGCGAGCUAGAGUAUGGUAGAGGGUGGUGGAAUUUCCUGUGUAGCGGUGAAAUGCGUAGAUAUAGGAAGGAACAUCAGUGGCGAAGGCGACCACCUGGACUGAUACUGACACUGAGGUGCGAAAGCGUGGGGAGCAAACAGGAUUAGAUACCCGAGUAGUCCCUGUCUCUUAUAU